rnacentral:rRNA from 1 species
UACGGGGGGGGCAAGCGUUGUUCGGAAUUACUGGGCGUAAAGGGCUCGUAGGCGGCCAACUAAGUCAGACGUGAAAUCCCUCGGCUUAACCGGGGAACUGCGUCUGAUACUGGAUGGCUUGAGAUUGGGAGAGGGAUGCGGAAUUCCAGGUGUAGCGGUGAAAUGCGUAGAGAUCCGGAGGAACACCGACGGCGUAGGCAGCGCCCUGGACGACACCUGACGCUGAGGCACGAAAGCUGGGGGAGCGAACAGG